GGAGAGGGAGGCAGUCAACCGGGAAAUCACCAUAUUAUUGCAUCUGUCCCAUAGUCUUUGCUGAGUCACAUUAGUCACUGGCCGGGGACAGGUGCCAUCAACAAAACCGAUUUUGUUUUUAGCAGAUAACGUGACAAUCAUCUUCCUCCUCCAACCCCCAUAGCCACUGCCCGAGAAGGGAGUGGACACAAGAGAGACUCCAGGAACAUCAGAGGAGUAGAUAAAAAGGGGACUGGUAUGGUCCACUGAGGAGGUACUAGCAUUCAUAUUAGAAGCCAUGAACAACAAUCAGUUUGAAAUAAAAAAAAAUCUCUGAGGAGGUACUAGCAUUCAUAUUAGAAGCCAUGAACAACAAUCAGAUUGAAAUAAAAAAAA
rnacentral:lncRNA from 1 species